rnacentral:rRNA from 1 species
UACAGAGGGUGCAAGCGUUACUCGGAAUUACUGGGCGUAAAGCGUGCGUAGACGGUUGCGUAAGUCAGCUGUGAAAGCCCCCGGCUCAACUGGGGAGGGUCACGCGAUACUGAUCGACUCGAAGGCAGGAGAGGGAAGUGGAAUUCCCGGUGUAGUGGUGAAAUGCGUAGAUAUCGGGAGGAACACCAGUGGCGAAGGCGACUUCCUGGCCUGUUCUUGACGCUGAGGCGCGAAAGCUAGGGGAGCAAACGGG